rnacentral:rRNA from 1 species
UACAGAGGGGGCAAGCGUUAUUCGGAAUUAUUGGGCGUAAAGGGCGCGUAGGCGGCCUGGCAAGUGGAAGGUGAAAUCCCUCGGCUUAACCGAGGAACUGCCCUCCAGACUGCUUGGCUUGAGUCCGGGAGAGGUGAGUGGAAUUCCCAGUGUAGCGGUGAAAUGCGUAGAUAUUGGGAGGAACACCAGUGGCGAAGGCGGCUCACUGGACCGGAACUGACGCUGAGGCGCAAAAGCGUGGGGAGCAAACGGG